rnacentral:rRNA from 1 species
CUCUUCCUUGUCCGAAAGGUCCGGGUAAUCUUGUAAAUGUGUGUCGUGAUAGGGAUAGAUUAUUGCAAUUAUUAAUCUUGAACGAGGAAUUCCUAGUAAAUGCGAGUCAUCAGCUCGCGUUGAUUACGUCCCUGCCCUUUGUACACACCGCCCGUCGCACCUACCGAUUGAAUGAUUCGGUGAAAAUCUCGGACUGUGGCUNGGACGCCUUCGGGCGACCUUGCUGUAGGAAGUUAUUUAAACCUCAUCAUUUAGAGGAAGGUGAAUCGUAACAAGGUUUCCGUAGGUGAACCUGCGGAAGGAUCA